CCCUCUCUCUCACUUAAAACAAAAAAAAAGGCGAUCCCCUUCUUCCUCCGCCGCGCCGUCGGCCGCCAGCGACGCCGUCAAUCCCCCUCGAUCCGCCCCUCGGCGGGAUCGCUGCUUCAGUCGACUGAGGAGCAUGGAGGCCGCCGCUCAGCUCCUCCAAAACGAGCUUCACCUCACGACCUGGUAAGAGGACCGUUGGAUUUUACCUGCAGCUCUAGGCUUCAUUGAUGGCGUCUCUGAGGCCGAGCUCCCCGCCGACCAGCCGCGCCAGGCGGGCCCCCGCCGGGUCCAGCUCCGGCGUGCUACCCCCGGACGUGCUGUUCGACGUCUUCCUGCGGCUUGCGGCCAAGGAGCUCUGCCGUCUCCGCGCCGUCUGCCACUCGUGGCGCUGCCUCACCACCGAUCCACUCUUCAUCACGGCGCACGUGGCCCGCCAUCCAGGUCCGCUCUUCUUGGCCAAAUUACGGGAUAACACGGCGCAAAUCUGCAUUGUGGAUCUGUCCGGCAACGUGGUUAAGCGGAUCCCCGUCCCAGAGGGUUGCCACCACCACCACCUGCUCUGCACACGCCUGAACCUUGCUUGCCUGGCCACUGACUUGAACAAAUGCCAUGUGCUCAAUCCGGCUACCGGAGCUGUUUACACCCUGCCUGAGGGACCCGCAGUUGAGCAUGUGAAUCGUGUGAACUUGCGCCACCCUAACACCUUCUUCGCGCUUGGGCGGGUCACCUCCACGGGAGAGUACAAGGUGCUCCGGAUGUUCAACCGUUGGGCCCCUGGUCACGAUGGUAAGCAGCUAUUCGAGGCGUUUACAAUCAACGGUGGUUCUGCUCGUCAUGCACAGUGGAGAGGAAGGCAGGGACAUGAUCUCAUUACUGAAGCGUUGAGUGGGGUUGUAGUCGAUGGGGUGGUCUAUUUCUUGAUGGACAAAGUAUAUGGUCGUAGCUUCUAUACGGGAAUUUCUCCGGACCACAUCGUUUCAUUUGACCUUGGGACAGAGGAAUGGAGGAGAGAUCUCCAAGGGCCUAUAAGUAGAAACAUUGAUUCAAAGAAGGUGUUACGCACCAUCCGGAAUCAACUUACUUUAGUUGAGCUAAAAGGCUUUCUAGUGAUAUCAUACUACCACCAGCUUGUCAUGGACCUGUGGUUUUUAAUGGACUUUGAGACUGGGCUCUGGGUGAAAGAGUAUAGCAUUCAGACUGAAUCGAUAGUCAGAAGACCAUCAUAUGCAGAACCAUUGUUGGUGUUAGAUGAUGGGAGGUUAGUCAUAUAUCUCCCAGCGAUGGGACGGCUGCUCAUUUGUGAUCCAGGAUCCAACACCUUUUCAGAAGUGGAGGUGAGACACCUUGAUGCGGUUGCUAUGUACUCAGGAAGUCUUUUGAGUUUACAAGAGGGUGACAUGGUGUAGCAUUCUCUUGGGUUUCUACUCAAUUUAGCUAGUGUCUAAUCCGCUUCACAGGAACCACCCUCAUAGCUUUGGGAACUGAAUGUCCUAUGGAUAUUGCUCAUCUUGUAUUGGAGUAAUGUGAAUCUAUGGAGCAUCAAACAUCGCGUGUCCUUCCUGUUUUGGCAACUCUUGGUGGCAUAUUUCCUUAGCAUUCUCAUAGCUAGGAGAUCUGGGUGGUGCUGUAUAACAGCUAUUAGCAAGUGGUGGACUGCAAAGAUCAGGAUUACCAAUGUAGCAGUUUUCAGCAAAUGUGAUGAACUGGCUCUCUAUUCCCAAUGUAGGGUCAGACAGAUUGUUGUAUGCAAAUGAGAAGACCUCCAAAGACUGCAAGGCUUGUAAUUCUCUUGGUACAGGCCCUGUCAGGAUGUUAUGGGAUAGGUGAAUAGGUCCAUGCUCUCAAGAUCUUUCGAAUUCUGGAAUGUUGUCUCCAAGCUGAUUGGAGGACAAAUCUAUUCCUGACAUGAAGUUGAGGGUGUUGCCGAUGAAGUAGUAUUGCCUUCUCUUUAUUGAGAUCUCUUCUUGAUCUAAUGAUAAGGAAUUGGUAUAAUACAACUUGAUCCAAACAGAAUCUCCAGUAUACAUGUAAUGUGGUGCGGUUAGUUGAUUCUCUCUGAUGAGCACACUAGAAGCUAGCUGUACAUAUUACCAUCUGAUCCCAUAUUACUGAGACAUAGGUAUCCGACCAGCUAGGCUAUUGCGUGAAACAUCUAAGAGAAGUCAUCUGCCUUGUGAUUCGUGUUUCUUUCUCUCUGGAAAGCAUAGAAGCACUUCUCAACAUCUAACUAAAAAAAUUUCAGGUCACACUGUUGUGGAAUCUUCCCUUCAAAAUGGUUUUCUUCCGAUAUGAGCACCCUUAUUUUACUGAACGCAGUUCCUAACCAACAAGGAACCAGACCAUUGAUUAUUUUUCUCUCAAAUCUAAUGUUAUUAUGUCAGGACUUGUGAAUAGUGCCAUUGGAAAUGUUCUGUUUAAUUUGUUUUGGCUCAAGUGCAAGAAAAAGAAAUUCAGAUAGAUUGAGGCAAUGUGGGGGAUUGUUCCAACAAAAUAGCUAGUUUGUCUUAAAUUUAGAUGUCUUUCCAUGUCUUAUAAGCAACUUGGAGGAAUCCAGCAGCAUGUUCAGUAUCAAAGAUAGCAUAAAAGCUCGGAGUAGUUCCAGAUCUGAGUGGGGAACUUUCCUUUGAAAUUAUUAUUUACAAACAUGUCAGUCUUAGUAGUGAACGACUUAUUGACCUGAUGAGGACAUCACCAGCUUAGAUAUGACCAUAUUAAUAGCUUGUAAACAAAAGGUGAAUCAAUCCUAUAUCAUGAUUAUUGUUGCUACAUUCGAUGAAUUGAUGCUGCGUCAUGAUGUGUGUUCAUUGUCAUUUUCAGAAAUACAUACGUGGAUAAAAAAGAGUGCUAGACACACAUGGAAGGCAUGGAGGACCAAAGACGUUGAUUGGGGACCAAGUCCAAGUGUUCCUCACGUCCUCCACCAGGCCACCACGUCACUUUGGGCCCAAAGAUGGAAAGAGAUCAAAUCCAACACGUUUUGGAGGCUGGAUUCGGACUGCAGAAAAGCAUUGAUUUGUGAUGGACGCCACAGUUGCAUACGGCAUCGGAUUGGGCCGUUCAAGUACUUCGUGGAAAGCUUAUCAAGUCUACUUUCCAACGGAUCCAACCCCACGUCCAUAUUUGUUCGGAGUCGGCCACAAUUGUCUAUUUUAUACCGAGAUGUUUUCUGUCCACGAUGCUCCGUCAUCUUAUUUUGGCUCAAUGGGUCGUGUAUAAAGUUGAGUCCAUUAUGGAUGCGUCCUAGGGUUGGAGCACGACCCCAGCACCCCUGUGGUCAUCCUCCCAAGUUCUUAUAUCCUUUAGCUGCUGCCAAGAAUACUUGGGUUUUGUUUAGAUCAAGUUUAGCCUUUGCUACUUGCUUGUAAGCGCGCAAGCUAGUCCAGUCGCCCGUCUUCGAGUCUUUGGAACCCCACUUCGUUUGUGAUUGAGUUUGAGAUUGACAUACUUCA